CUUUGUAUUAUUUGUUGAUGGCCAUAACAAUGAAUUCCACACACACGCUCACAGAUGGCCAAGCAGAUGAUAGAGACACCUCUCAGUCCUGACUACAGGUAGCUGGUAGGUGGAGGGAUUUACCAUCAUGUAAACUACAGUGUCGUAUCUGUAAGGAGUAUGGGAGUAUAGUGUCCCUGAUGCUAGACAAAGCCCCGCCCACCAUCUCCGCCCUCUCUGAUGUCCAACCAGAGUGGAGGUCCGGUGUUGUAUGUGUCAGGACAAGGUCAAAUUGACAUCAUCUCGGUCCCGUACGUGUUCAGAUAGUUAUAGCAGCAGAACUGGCAGCUAUGCAAUUACUAACUGUUUUCAUUGUUGAUUUGUGUGCGCUACAAUAAUUGAUUGAUCACUUAUUUUUAUUGA